GGAAAAGUUGUUAUUGGUAAAACGAGAUAUUUGCUAAAUAUUGUGUUCUACACCUGGAUGUUCGAAUCAUCUCUUUUCCG